GACGAACGCUGGCGGCGUGCUUAAUACAUGCAAGUCGACCUUAGUGGCGAACGGGUGAGUAACACGUGGGUAACCUGCCCAUCAGAAGGGGAUAACACUUGGAAACAGGUGCUAAUACCGUAUACUGAUGGAUGGACUUGGGGGGCAUUAGCGAGUUGGUGAGGUAACGGCUCACCAAGGCUACGAUGCAUAGCCGACCGGAGAGGAUGAUCAGCAACAUUGGGACUGAGACACGGCCCAAACUCCUACGGGAGGCAGCAGUGGGGAAUCUUCGGCAAUGGACGAAAGUCUGACCGAGCCACGCCGCGUGAGUGAAGAAGGUUUUCGGAUCGUAAACCUCUGUUGUUAGAGAAGCGGUAUCUAACGAAAAAGCAACGGCUAACUCCGUGCCAGCAGCCGCGGUAAUAC
rnacentral:rRNA from 1 species